UUUUUGGUAAAAUGAUUAAAAAAAAAAGACUGAAGCUAAAAUUCAUCUUUUUGUUCUUGAUCAUUCAUGUUAUCUUCAAAGUCAAUAACAUGGUCAACGUAAAUGAUCGACGUUGAGAUUUCAGCUUUUCUGAAUUUUACUAUUCUAAUGUUUCAAUAUAAUUUGAAUAUUCUCUUUGUUUUAUAAUAUAUAAUAGUUUAAAAGUAUUUUUUGUUUCACUAUAUAAAUUGUUUUUAUAUUUUAAUGUAACUUUAUAUUUAUUGGAUACUGUGUGGCCAAUUAAAUUAUGUAAAUUAUUGUGUAAUUGAUUAAAUUUAUAUAUUAAAAACAGUUUUAUAAAGUAAUAACUUUUAAAUAUUACAGAUUUUAAUUAAAAUUGAUUACAUUUUGAAACAGAUAGAGUAAUCUAUAAACUAACUCUAUAAAGAUAUGAGGACAAAAUUGUAAAGUGAUCUCAUUUUGUAUUUCUCUCAUUCUGUGCAUUCCUAAUUGGGAGGAGAUAAUCAACAUCUAAUUUUAUGUUACUCUCAGUAUAUUAGAAAUGGUCGAACCAUAAACCAAUUAAGGAUGAUGUAAGGAAGACAUAAAGAUGUAUUUCCAGUUAUCACAAAUAUAGAAUCAAUUGACAACAACUUAAUUAUGUCCAGCGUAGGACAACAUAGAAGAGUUUCCAUACCUUUUAAUAUUAUAAUAUCUCACUAUAUUAGUGGUUAAAUCAGUUUUCUCUAACACAAAUAUUCACUCAAUUCUUAGAGUUUAAGCUUUUCUAUCUGAUGAUAUUAGAAGUUUGAUCCAAAAAAAAAAAAGAAACGGUCGAACCGUUCAUUAUAAUUGGAGAAAGAAAACAAAAAAAAAUCAAACGAAGACUUUUAAGGUAUAUGAAACAAAAAUUGGAAAUAUCAGUUCUCUGCAAUUAAAGAAUAAUGCAAUAAAAUUGUAAAAAUACAAAAUAAAACAAAAAAAUACACAAAAAGAAAGAUUUAGUAAAAUAAAAUCAUAAUAUAAUUUCCAUAAUUGAUAGUGCUCAACUACACUAAAAAGUCUAAAUUUACAACAUACACAGUUUUAUUUACAUCUUUAAACCUAUUAUCUAAUUAAAAAGAUUCUAAAAAAAGUGCCAACACGAAGAGUUAAAAAAUAUACUAUAAAAUAUAAUACAUAACGUUAAAAGUACAUUAUCACUGAUCACUAAAAAAUCAUGUUAGUAGUAAUAAAAAUGAAAUGACAAUACAUUUAUUAAAACCAUAGAACGACAUGCAAUAAGGUGUUAUUAAAUAUACAAAUUACAAAUUAAUAUGCUCAACG
rnacentral:lncRNA from 1 species